ensembl:lncRNA
AUCAGUAUGAGCUCAUAUAUCGUCUCUGCUGUAAUCAUGUUUCUCAGUGAGUCUCACUGGUGGUAAUUAAUGUGCAUUGCCUGCUGAGUAAGACAGUAAUAAUAGUGGAGAGCCAUUAUUGUAGCACACCCCCAUACUUCACAUAUGUUUGGAAGCAAAUUACUGACCCGGUCGAUACCCAGUGGGCACAGGCGUAGAUCAAUACCUGCUCUCCCAGGGAACAAUCUUCAGCUUUAAUGACAAUACAUUGAUUUUUAAAUAACUGCUCAUGUUUCAGAAACGCUAAUCACUCCACUUUCUCAGGGGACUGAGAGUCUGCCCUUUUCAUUUCUCUUUUUUCAUCUCUGCUUCUUUCUCCCUCUCUCUCUUAUAUCUGAGGAAGAAUUUGUAAGUGCCUUGAAUUAAAUUUUUUAGUAGUUUAGUUUUAUAGAUUUUUUUCAUAACUUUUGCACAAAAAGUUUCCCCAAACUGCAAACUUUGUGUAUUUUGAUCAUGGUAAAUGUAUUACUGUGAUAAACUAUUGCAAAAACAUAUUCUUUUACUACUCAAUGUUGUAUUUAGUCAUUUGUGCAUACUUAAAUGAACUACAAAGCCUUGUGAUACCCCAAACUUACAAUGGCAUGUAAAAAAAAAAAAUUUAUGACAUUGAAUCACUAUAUAAUGCAACUAAAUUAAAUAACAGUAAUCUUGAAAAUAAUGCACCAUGAAAAUUACAGUAUGAAUGCAAAGCAGUUGCUAAUACAAUUUUUUAAGCUUGUUUUAGAAAAAGGGUAAUUAUGACUUUUUAUUUCACAGUUUUGACUUUUUUCCACUCAUACAGUAGUUCUGAUUUUAUAUCCUGCUUUUCUGACCAUUUAAACUUCAGUUAACUUACAAUUUGGAGAGAUAAAUUUGCAAUUUUCAGAAGAAAAGUCAGAAGCUAACACUUCAGAGGUGUUAUUUCACUUUCUGGGCUGUUUUGAAUGUGCAGUAAAAAAUGUGGAUAUUGCCAAAGACACAUUCCAGAAAACAAGGAUGUCUGGUCACCCGACUCAAAGUUCAUGUGGACUGUAUUUGUCGUGAGCAUAAACUCUAUGCUAACACAUCACCCUGACCCAGGUCACAGCAGUAGCAUUGAGGCCAGCUGGCACAUCUUAACAGGGGACUGA